AGAGUGCCUGUUGUAUUUUUUAGUAGCCUCUCUCACCAGUCGACAUCUUGUUCAGAUGAUUAGUUCUACGUGACAGUCCACUCUAGCAAGAGUCUGGGUGCAGUGAUGAACCUUUCACUUUUGGAUGAUGGAUCUAACAGUGCUUAACGAAAUUUUUAUGCACUGCAAAAAAUGCCUAUGCAAACACUAGACACAAAAACUUUAAAUGGGAGUUGUUUUGCUUUUAUUUAGUUAAAAAAAAUCUGCCAAUAAGGGUUGUGGCAGCCUGAAGUGGGGUGCCCUUUGCAGUGGCACCAUUGCAAAAUUUCAGACUCCAAACAACUAGAGCUGUAACUGAAUGACCAAGGAAUGGGAGAACUGAGACACAGACAAUGAUGACUGCUCCAAGAAAGAAAAUUCUGGUUUAUUCCAGAUGUGCCAACAACUAUUUACAGUAAUGUCUUUCAAUUACAUACACAAUUCAAUGCAAGAACGUUAACAAAGACAAGAAAAGUACAUGCAGUUGCUUUAUACAAUAAUUACAAUGACUCUAAACAAAAAUAAAUAAAAAGCCUUUUCCUUCUCCUUCUCCUUCAACAUAAAGUUCACAAAGGAUGGACAGAAAAAUAAUCAAAAACAAAAAGUUAAAAAAGGAUUACCUUCAUCCAAAAAUGUAUACAAAUAGGAAGUAAACUGUCCUCACUAAUAUACUGUAUAUCAACUCAAGUACUCAUUCUGUGCUCCACCAACUUAGCAGUAAAGAUGCAUCUGAAAGCCCGAAGACCAGUCAAAAAAUAGCCCCUGGCUGUUUGGACCUUUUGCCUAGCCAAUCAUUACUAAUGUCUUCUGGGGUCCUCCCAUAACACGACGUCAAGUCACAUACUCUUCGUCCUCUGGUCAGAUGUAGUGUUAAAUCUUAGCCUAUCCCCACAUGCACAUGCAUGUAUGCAACCAUGAUGGUGAACUUUCACCUGUUUUCACUCAGUCUUUUCUAUCUGUACAUGUGUAUUCUCUGCCAGCAACCUCUUAAUCUCAGCCCUCUGAUCUUUCCUUCCUGCGGUGGAGUUGGGCCGCUUUAAUUUGAAAGCGUACCUGAGGAUAAUCUAGCAGCAUCAUACACAAGCCUCGGCAUAGUGUCUCUUCAAAGUCGGAGAAGCUCUCGGACUUGCGGGCCUUCAAAUCGGUAGGGCAACUUACAAGGGGACACCAAAUGCCAGUGUGACAUUGCCCCACCGUCAUGUUCUCCCACUCUAGAGCGUUAACAUAACAGAUAAGUGACUUUUACCACUAUACCUAUUUAUUCAUUCAUGAGAAGCUAUAAAUAGCUAUACUAAAUACUACUUUAAAAUUAUCUGCGGGCUCGGCUUAUCACAUGCAGCCUGUGCUACUUGGAAGCCCAUACAUUGUAGGGUGCUCUCAUGUACACACCCUACAUCAAAAUAAAUGGCAUGACUUUGGGAUACAGGAAGAAAUUGAAGUACCUGGAUGAAUACUAUGGAAUCUGGGGACAGUAAACAUAUUCCAGUGUUUCCAACCCAUGAGUUUCUGGAUGUCCUCAAUGGGUCAUCAGCUUAAGUUAAAAAAAAAAAACUUUUAAAACAGAUAUCGCUUAAAUGUUUUAGGGGAUACUGAUUGAAGAUUUCAGUUCUGGAACCAAUCAAAGGGGCAUUUUGCUUCUGCAUACUAAGAAUCACAAUACUGCAGAACUUAAUUGGAUGGUAGAGCAGCCACCCACCUGACAUAUCAAAACACCACCACCUGCAUUCAGGAGUAUCUGGAUGAACUCUCAUCUGCAUUCUUACAGUCAGGAAAAUGUAUAAGGCACCAGCAUCUGAACAGGUAGCUUCUACUACCUGGCACAUGUAAUGAUAUGAUUGCUGUUAUAAUGAGUAGUACAAGCUAUUUGAAACACUGAGGUUUCAGCUAAUUACCUUACCAACAAGCCAGCCACCACAUACAGUAUCAUCACGUCUGUCACAGAUACUUUGCCUCAAAAUAAAUGAAUCACCGAUGGCCCAGGCCUCUGAGACAGGAUCUUUGUCAGCCACUUCUUGGAAUCACUGCUCACGGCUAACAAAACGGCUUAAUUCUUGCUAGCUGCCUAUAUUGCAAUAAGAGUGCAGUAAAUUGCUCUGAUUAUGUUAGGAGAACCUGACACUGCUGCAAAUUGCCUUUUUAUGUUGGCAAAACAUGUUAUGUUUAAUGUGUGUGCAGUCACACAAUACGAAAACUGAUUGUAGCACUUUGUUGGUCAAUUAAUGGCUUCUAGCACAGUGGACAUGAUGGAGUCAAGCUUGGUUGAGAUAUAUUCCUGACCUGUUGGCCAAUUCCCUGAGAAGUGACAACAGGCAGCUUAUAAAAACUGAUGAAAAACCAAAAAAGUUCUUCAGUGCAAAUAUGAAGCAUCAGUCCUCUUAAAAAGGAGCUAAAACACAGUCUGUACAUCAUAUUCAUCACUUCUGAGGUAUAAUAUACAGUACUUAUCUACAAAUCAGGUCAGGUUGGGGAGCACGUAGCAGACACAUGGUACAUUCCCACCCCCCAGAAAUGACAAUCUAUCUGCCGCAGCCAGGUGUUAUGUGGACGGCCCCUUGGCCUGAUUCACCCCCUCGGGUCCUCAACAAUGAGGAUUCUGUGAGCCCAAUUCACCCUCAGAGAAUCGUGUCACAUGGUCAUAGUGCUGUAACUUGAUGCUCCCACGCAAUGCAGGUAAUGUGCCUCAUUCGGGACUCAAUGAGUAACAGCUUGUUCGACACAAAGUCAAGCCAGCAGUACCCAAGGAUUCUCCGAAAAGACACAGUACCAAAGAAGUCCAGCCUUCAUCUCAGGUUUCUGGAUACUGUCCAUGUCUCGCAACCUAAUAGCAAAACAGGAAGCAGCAGGACUAUAAAGACUUGAACCUUCAUUUUUUGUAUGAUAUUGGCAGAGCCACACGCCCAUUCCAGUAACCUCAUGAUCCCCUAUGCUCUCCCAAUCCAUGUACUGACUUCAUAGGAAGAGUCACAAGAGACAUGAAUGUUGCUGUCAAGGUAACUAAACCUCUCGACACUCUCUCCACAGACAGACGCACUGCUGAUGGCUGUGCCUAAGAGGUCAUUAAAGGCCUAGAUCUUGGUUUUCAUCCAGGACACUUACAAGCCCAGACACUCAGACUUCUUGCCCGGUCUCUUGAGAACCCCAAUCAAAGCCUCCAUUGACUCCAUGAAGAUCAUAGUAUUGUUGACAAAGUCAAGAUCAAUGAACCUUUCUUAACCAACAGAUGCCCCAUAGCUGCUGAACUGCAUGACCCUGCCCAACACCCAGACCUUGCAAGCACUGACCAGAGUAGGAGCAAGAAAACAUCCCAGAACAACCCCAGAAACAAAGGGGAAAAACGCAGAAGUUCUGCCUUCACUCUUCAUAGCACUCACAGUACCAUUGUACAGGCUGGCCCUGAUAUCCAGAAACUUUGGGAGGAUCCCACAAAGUCUCCGGAUGCCUCACAGAGCAGCUCAAUCAACUGAGUUGAACACUUUACGAAAAUUGACAAAGACUGCAAAGAAACUCUGCUGAUAUCCGCGUUUAUGUUCCAUGAGAACCCUCAGUGCCAGGAUGAGGUCAAUGGUAGACUUCUUAGGUGUAAAAACAGACUGCUCGGGUCGCUGGUAGGUGAGCGAGUUGUUUUGUCUUGGUAGAGUAAUAUAUAUUGCUCUACUUUCCCCAAUUGUAUUAUUAAUAUGUAGCCUUAGAAUGCCUAAUCUCACAGACUUACCACUGUUUAUAAGGUACUAUUGUAUAUAACUUAUCCCCACCUUCCCUUCUAUAUCUAUAACCUCAGGCAAUUAGAUGUAGUAAAAAGGCAAGCAGAAGUUAAGUUACAGUUUAAACAAUGUAUUAUUGAUAAUAUUCAUAAAUAAUAACAAAAUGCAAAGUACAUUUGAAUAUUGGCAACCAUACAACCUGAUUAAAUGAUGAUAUGUAGUUCAGGUGGCACACAGACUUCUGGUUACUUAAAUGUCUUUAGUUAAGGCAUCAUUGGUGCUCAGCUUUCAGCCACAUGUCUGUUCAAAAUGGCUGCUGAGCUGUGCUGUUCAUUGUGUUCUCUUCAUCAUCACAGGUUAGCAAGAGAGAUGCUUCUUCAUCAUAUGUUGGUUGGUAAGAGAGAGAUACUGAGGUUAAACACAUACAUUUAUAGAUGUUUUGUCCAACCCCGAGAGCCAAUAGCACAUCAUGGUACUUAAAGGCUUCUGAACCAAGCCAAUUCCAAACAGCCAUACUUCAGACCAAUGGGGGAAAUAGAACAUCUUAACACCUGCCCCCAAACCAUAUGUUAAAGUACACCUUAGCCCAUUUGCGGGGGUAGAAAUGACUUUAGCAAAGAAACACUCGGCAAACUGGUUUAAAACACACAUCCCCCAAAUUCUGUCGUAAAAUUCAAACAGACCCAUUCCUAAGGGGGUCAAACACUAAAUUACAUUCCUUUGUCUAAAUUACAAAUAAAGAUAUACAGUACAAAAUAUUCAUCAAGUUAUAUGUAAAAUCUCACAUCACAACACGAGUGAUCACAGAUCUUAUUGAGGAUGACCAUACCAAGGACGUUACCCGGCAGUGUUAUCCUCCUGUAGUUGCCGCAAUCUAGGCGAUCACCCUUCUUUACUUAUCUACAUAUUUAUGUAGAUAUGGGGACAAUUACUAAUCUAUCUAUCUAUCUAUCUAUCUAUCUAUCUAUCUAUCUAUCUAUCUAUCUAUCUAUCUAUCUAUCUAUCUAUCUAUCUAUCUAUCUAUCUUAUUAUACAAAUGAGUCGUCAUUUAGCUGGUUUGGCUGCAUUUCCCUACUUAACCAACAGUGUCACCAUUUCCCAGUUUCUCUGAAAUGGAUUACAGUUGUUGUAAAUAUACAUAUGUUCUGCCAUCAAUCCCCGUGUUUGUGUGGGAAGCUGGGUAUGCACAUUUUGAGCCUUUUUUUGUGCACAUGCAAGGUUUAUAAAUGAAACUCCAGGCCAAUGGCGCUAAAGGACAGCAGCGCUUACCACAACCCAUUAUUCAUAUUUACAGAAAUGUAAUUUUUCAACUUUUCUCCCAAUAAAAUAUUAUGUUUACAUUUCUUACAUUUUACAAAUAUAAAAAUAUGGUUAAAUGAACUUAAGCUACACCCUGCUCACAAACUACUCUUUCAACAUCAUAGCCUAUCUUUCACUUUGAAAAAGACACCACAUUUCUUUCUUUAGUUGCAAUUUUCCAAGAAAUUCUGGGUACAUAUAUAGGGAUCUGGCAUAUUUGGUGUCAGUAUUUACCUAAAUAAUCAAUUUACACAAUGGUCUGGAGCUGGCCUUAAAUAUGCACGUGUAAAUUUGAAUACAAUAUAAAUGAAUUAAGCUCAUGGCCAUUCCUGUGCCAUUCCUGUGCCAUUCACCAGUCCAUCACAAGGCAUGGUAAUAACUGGGCCAAUUUGUUAUUGCCGGUAAGUUUAGCAACAUAUUUUUACAGUGGGUGGAAACUCCAGCAUACAUUACACAAAGGCAUUCAAGCAGGAAUUCAACUAAAGUAACUUUGAGGCAACAAUACUAAAGGCUUUGUCAGUUUGACAUUUUAAAUAUUUUGUCCUGUAUUAUUUUACAAUGGAUCUUCAAGCUAUUGUAUAAUGCAGUAUGUGUUUAUUGUUCUUGUGCAUUUAAUAAAUUGCUCUGUGACAGAUGAGGUGAAGCAGAAAAUAAAAACUGACGGUCAGUCACGACAUGGUUGCAUGUACAUUACCAAGCAAUUUUGAUAGUAAUUGUUUAAUAAAUAUUUCUGGUGCUGAUAUGUGUGUGAAUAGACCAGUCAAAAUGCAGACUCUAUCGAAUUUUUAACAGUGCAGGCCAGCAGUGAUCUAAAUAAAGUGGAAAAAUGCUACAUAAAAUUGGAUAAAUGAAGUAAACAAUAAAGUAAUUACAAUAAACAGAUUUUCUGCCAAAUACCAGAUUCUAUAUCCAUUGUGGAGAGUUGCUGACGUGUGAUACGUUGUGUGUUCAUUUUGACAGAUGCUGGACUGCAUAGUUAGAAUAAUAAAAAAUUGCUAGGCUAUUAGUUGGCAAAAUUAUGGGUCAUUGUGGAAAUGAGAGCGAGAUAGUAAUAACCCUUCAUUAGCUUUUUCAUUAAGCUUUCAGCCUGAUAAUGAUCUGAUCCCAACAGCUAGCAAAACAUUUCACUAGAAAGGCAAGCUCUGUCUGGUUUAGACUCUUGAGAUGAGUAAUGUGCUUUGAUUAAUCAUAACAGAAAAACAAGAGUUUAACUCUGAAUGAAAUAAACACACUUCUUCAGAUGUUUCUGUCUAGAAGAAUAAGGAGAUGAAAUGAAAAGACAUGACCUUCAACAAAAUGUUUUACAUGUUUUGUGUGCUUUAUGUCAACACAAAAUAGUAAAAUAAAUACGGAACUAUGUAAGGCAUGUAAGAGAGUACAACUAUCAGCUGAUCAGUAAAUAGGAGCUUAUUCAGAUCACACUAGCCUAAAGAAAACAUUGUAACACCAAGAACAUCAUAAACUCCAUAAUUAUGACUUAUUGUUAUUUUUCAAGUGUGUCUCAAAUCUCAUUGAAACUAAAGUAGCACAUUAAAUCUACCAUAAUCUAUGUGCUCCCACUAACUAGGCUCUAGGUGUUACUUAUACUUGCCAUCUCUUGCGUCAACAGUAUCAACAGACAGAUCACUUUAAAUUCACGCCAUGACAAUUCUCUGAAAAUGUCACACUUUUAAGAUUUAUACUUAACUAAGUGACAUGUAUUACUUUAGUGAUGAAAUGCAGGGGUAUGCUUUUGUAGGAUUAUAUUAUAUAGAUCAAUUAUUAAGUUCAAUCACAUGCCAAGUCAUUAUCUAACCAGUUUAAUCCAGAGUAGGGUCACGGUAGGGCUGGAGCCUUCAAGUUCAAUUACAUAAUUUCAGCAUUUAUAAGUUGGUAAUAUAUCUAUGUUCUGUAAAAAUCUUACCUUUGAAUUCCGUGUCUCCUUCUCCGACUAGCAGAAAGAGUGCAACUAUUGCACAUUAUUUAAGUAAAAAGAUUGGAUUACAUUUGACACCAAGUAAUGUUCCCCACAUCUUGGAGCCUCGUUUCACCAGCUUUUCUGUGCUAAACAUACAGAUUACUGUAGUUAUAAUCUCUAAGGACUUUUUAUAGAUGUGUGGCAAAAAGUCCUAGAAGUACCAAUGAUGCCUUCAUCUGAGGCCAAUUCAGUAGUGUGCUACAAGGCAUAGAGUCAGAGAGUGUGGUGGUUUAUGGUUACUGGGUAAGAACAAAAUUGUGCAUAUCUGUUUACACUUGUGACUAACCUCCAGACAGUGGCCACAAUACAUCAGCAUACCCUAAACUUGGUGAAAUGCAAUAAAGUCACAUUCAAGUUUUGUUAUUUGUUCUAAUUUCUCUAUGUUUGUUAAUUACAUGUCAUAUCUGUUUAGCAUUUUGGAAUGGCUAUGGUUAUUUUUCAGUGUGCUUUAUAAAUAAAUUUGACUUUGACUUUGAAUGUAGUAUAGGUAUAGGUAUAAAUAUAUGUCUUCUAUCCUUCUAAGUUGCCAGGUGGCAUCAGAUUUUCACUUCCGUGGCCCUGCACUUUGAUGGGUGUGUGUACAACAUUACAAUACACUGCUGUUAGAGCAGGCAUACACCUGUUAAAUCAAGAAGUGGAAGAAAGAAUGGAGGUUGGAAAUGUCAAAAUGUCUGAUCUUUGUACACAGGGCAUAUACCAGGCUAGAGACACCAUUAAUGCUAUCAUUUUUAUGUCAUUUUUGUUGAAUGGUUUGCAUUAGAUUGUAUUUGAGAUACUCCAUAAAUAUUUGAGAAAUAAACAUACCAUGCACAGUCCAAA